GAAGGAUACGACCUGGAUGGGAUGCCCCGUCCAUCACAAGGCAGUUUCCAGAACAUUCUGCAACUUAGUGAAGCCUGUUCUGAUUCAUCGCCCUCGGUGAUUGAACACCUGCUUGAACUGAGCAGUCUACCUGCUGAAGCGUCAAGGCACAGCUUUGUUCAGCGGCUGCAGUCACUUUACCUGACUGGGUGCAACAAUGAUUGAGCUGGAGACGAAGGAAGGUGAAACAUCCUGAUCACCGCAGAUUUCGGCGACAGCAUUGAACUGAAGCCUUUUCACUGCAAGGGUCGGAAACAACAAAAGGCAAACUGCUUUUCGCUUUGCAACUUUUAAACUUUCAGGUGUUGGUGAGGAGUCAAGAAAUCAAAUUCUGGGUUGUGCUUUAGCAGCCUUUCAUAAGAUGGCGUGCAAAAAAAGAAAAUGCUGCCAUUUCAACUACUGUAUACUUUUGUUUCCUACAACCUGUUCCCAAGGUACAUACUGUAUGUAGGUGUUGGUGAGCAGUGGAAGGGUCUGAGUAAAUAAACAUUUAAUGAAUGCAUUCCCAUAGAAACAGAAAACAUGCCUUGCCUUUUAAAGUGGGAUUUAUUUUGGUUGGUACACAGUAUGCUUCCUGAACUCUAGAUAAAUAUCCCUUCCAGAUUUUUACCCUUUUUCAUUUCUAGCAGUCUGCUGACUAAGGAUUAAUACUGCCAGAAUUGAGCAAGAUAUCCAUAUGGUAUAACAGCUUGCAAGAUAAGGUAGACUUAUUUCAUUCACCUUUAGAUACAUUGUCAGAAAUGCACUGUGGGUAUUAUGUGUUUCAUAUGCAUUUGGGGUUUGCUAUAAUUAAGCUGAAAUUGGUUAAUUUUGUUAGCAACCCACAGAGAAGAG
rnacentral:lncRNA from 1 species